rnacentral:misc_RNA from 1 species
UUUCCGUAGGUGAACCUGCGGAAGGAUCAUUAACACAAUACAUUUACCCAAAUGUAUUUUAACCCCCCUUUGCAAACUUGUUUCAUAACGUUUCUCCCGGAUGCGAGUCAAGCCUUUCACUAGGUUUGUUUUUUGCAUCUGUGGUUUUAAACCUUUUAAACCCCUUGAACUGUCUUUGACUGAAACUCUGAGUAACAACACACCCUUUUUCCAACAAAAAAGAAGUGUGCGGCUACUCUGCCAUAUAUCAAACGCUGAACAACUCUUAGCAACGGAUAUCUUGGCUCUC